rnacentral:rRNA from 1 species
CCACGCUUACAUUACGGUGGAGACGGCGGAAACGCCGUCGCCUCCUAGGGUCCGUCACAGGUGCUGCAUGGCUGGCGUCAGCUCGUGUCGUGAGAUGUUGGGUUAAGUCCCGCAACGAGCGCAACCCCUGCGGUUAGUUAUGCGUGUCUAACCGGACUGCCUUCGGGGAGGAAGGCGGGGAUGACGUCAAGUCCGCAUGGCCCUGACGCCUGGGGCGACACACACGCUACAAUGGCGCCGACCAAUGCGUUGCCACCGCGUAAGCGGGCGCGAAUCGCCAAACGGCGCCGCAGUGCAGAUCGGGGGCUGCAACUCGCCCCCGUGAAGGCGGAGUUGCUAGUAACCGCGUAUCAGCCAUGGCGCGGUGAAUCCGUACCCGGGCCUUGUACACACCGCCCGUCACGUCAUGGGAGUUGUCAAUGCCUGAAGUCCGUGGGCUAACCGCGUGAUCGAAGGCAGCGGCCGAGGGCAGGGGCAGCGACUGGGACGAAGUCGUAACAAGGUAA